rnacentral:rRNA from 1 species
CAGACGGGUGAGUAACGCGUGGUCAACCUACCGUUGGGUGGGGGAUAACUAGCCGAAAGGUUAGCUAAUACCGCAUACGUCUCCGAGGGGCAUCCCUUGGCGAUAAAAGGAGCAAUCCGCUCGAUGACGGGACCGCGUCCCAUUAGCUAGAUGGUGGGGUAACGGCCUACCAUGGCACCGAUGGGUAGCUGGUUUGAGAGAGCGACCAGCCACACUGGGACUGAGAAACGGCCCAG